ensembl:lncRNA
UUGGUUUCAGGUGUAUAGCAAAGUGAUUGUUAUAAAUGUGUGUUUGUAUGUGUGUGUAUGCAUGCACAUGGUCGCUACAGUCCAUGGAGUUGCAAAGAGUCGGACACAACUGAAGCGACUAAGCAUGGGGAUAAUAGUAUCCUAUCAAUGUUGAAUUUCUUUCAUUGGAUCAUUGUAUAAGAAGAAAACGUUCUUGCUUUUCAGUGGUACCAGUGAAGUAUAUAGGUGUAAAGGGAUGCAAGACACAAUGUCUAAUUUAUUCUCAAAUGGUUCAAUAACUAAAAAUAGUGACAAUUAUAGUUAGCUAGCUAGAGAGAGAGAUUAAAGCAAAUGUAACAUAUGUUAGCAAAAUGAUGACUCAACAGACACUUGGUAAGGAUAUGUAUACUGAAGUUGAUUGUACUGUUCUCACCAAUUUUUUCUAGUUUAAAGAAUUUCAGGGAGGGGAAUAUAUAUAAUUAUGACUGAUUCACGUUGAUGUACAGUGGAGACCACAACACUGUAAAGCAAUUAUUCUCCAAUUAAAAAAGAGAAAAAAAAAUUUUUUGUCUGUGAAUCACAGAGAUGUAGAACAAAGUGAACUAUUUAUUCUCCAGGGAGAUAACAUCCCAUCAUUCCAUUUAAUCCAUCCCAACAAACAUUCUAAGGCCUCUUAAGGGCCCAGAAACAGUGUUGGGUGUUUCAGGGAAAAGUUCAUCUGCCAGCUAAGCAGCUUCCUAUCUGAUAGGGGAGAACUAGACAAAUAGAUAACGAACAAGAAUAUGAAGUGGAACAGGAGAAGGGCCUUAAGAAAGGUGUAAAGUAGGGCAGAGGUCACAAGAGUCACAGAGGUGAGACCCUUCCGAGCGGAGUUGGCAUUUCAGAGCAAUGUGAGGAUGGUCCUGGUGGAGCUGCACUGAUUUUUCACUGGCUGGGUGGAGGAGUACCACGCAUGUAGAAGGCUAUGCAUGAGCACAGGAGCCGGGUGGAGACAAGGGCACGUUGAGUGGUAAGCAAGUCUUUUUUUUUAAUUAAUUAGUUUUUGGCCAUGCUGGUUUUUAGUUGUGGCAUGAGGGCUUCUCUCUAAUUGAGGUGCGUGGGCUCAGUAGUUUUGUCGUGUGGGCUCAGUUGCCCCUCCACAUGGAACAUCUUAUUUCCCCUACCAGGGUGCAAACCCCUGCCCCAU